ACCAAAGCCGCCAGAGGAGAACCGUUGUACUUGCGUGCUCUCUCUGAAGAAAAGCCCACAGAGGCGCCGGCAAACCUUGCAGAUGAUUUCCCAGGCUUGGCCGACGACUUUCGGCUACCAGAAGAACUUGGCUCAGUUAAGGAUCGGAUGUUCAGUUCCGUGCUGAGAAUAUCUGGCAGAGCAAACAUGUGGCUGCACUACGAUGU